UUUGUACUCCCUCUGUCCCAAAAUAAGUGUCUCAACUUUAUAAACUUUAGUACAAAGUUUAUAAAGUUGAGACACUUAUUUUGGGACGGAGGGAGUACCAU
rnacentral:pre_miRNA from 1 species